AAAAUAAUCUUAAAAUCUCAAAACUUCAUGUAAAUUGAAACAAAUUAGUUUUUCUAAAACAUCAUAUAUAUUGAAACGAAUGGAGUAUAUUAUAUUAUGGCUCAAACAUAAUUAUCCUGUAAUAUUUGUUAUUGGUGGUUUUUAUUAAUUUUAACAAAAAAAAACUAUGAAUAUAUAUUACAUGCUUAAAAUAUAUUUAUAUAUAAUUUUAGUAAUUUCAUAAAAUUCACUUACAUUUUCUAUACUUCAUAAAACAAUUUUUUAAAAUAUUUGUGUAUAAAAACUUAUUUUCUAUAUAAUUUCAGUAGCUUUAUAAAAUUCACUUACAUUAUAUAGUUAGUGAUAACAAUAUUUUAAAAUAUUUGUGUAUAAUAAUAUUUAUGAAAUAAAUAUUAGACUGUAAUAAUAAUUAAGUAUGUAUUGCUAAUAUAUAUUUUUUUAAUUAUAGACUAGAUUUUGAUUCGAGUUUGGAAAGCGCAGAUUUGUUUUCAAAAUUAAAUAAAUUAUUUUUAAAUUAAUCUCUAUCUAAGAUAUUGUAUAUGUUUGGGUACAACUGCGAACCGAACCAUACCAAACUAAAAACCAAAACUAAAAUUAAACUGAAUUUCAUAAAUAAUCAGGAAAAUCAUAUAUCUCUAAAGACAAAAAAUUGAACCCAUAACCAAAUUGAUUAAAAUUUUCCAUAUACUUUAUAAUAAUACACAAACGGAACAAACUAUUUUAUUUUUUCAUAUAAAGUAAAUGCAUUAAUGUUGUGCAUUUUGAUUUAUAGGUUAAUACUAUUAUAAUUUAUUGUAGAUAAUUUAUUUCCUUUAUUUAGAAGUAUACAAUGGGUUUAGAUGUAUUAAUAAACUUAAAUUUAUAGUUGAUAGAAUGGGUAUGUAGAGUUUUAAGCCCAAAAAAAAAAAUUGCUUUUAAUGAGAUUAAAAUUUCCUUUGUAAAUUUAGGGGUUAUUUUUUUAAGAAAUUGAUAUUUUCAUUAGAAAGAAAAGUGAAACACAAAUAUUUUUGUUUUAAUAAUAUUGAUGUUAGUGCCAAACCUAUUUAGCUACGAUAGCAUUAUUUAUUGGUUAACAUGGAAUACAAAUAUUAUAUUAUAAAAAAAAAUAACAUCCACAAACUCUAGUAGUCUUUUCAAUUUAUGGUAAAAUGGCAGUUUUAAUAAAAUGCUGCGAUCUAAUAAAAUCGCGUUUAGAAACGUGCAUUUUUGGAAUUGCGUUUCUUCUUCUUCUUCACUUGUCCUCCGGUAACUGACGCAUCUGCUCGGGUCUUCUUCGCUGCACCAACUCGUCCCUCGCGUCUCUCUCUCUCUCUCUCUGCUCACUGCGCCGCCGUGUCUCUCCAUUUGCCGGAGCCAUCCCACCGUGCUUCCUCUCCGCUUACGUCGUGUAGGCUCGAGAAUUAUUAGGGAAAAUCUCAUCCAUUGGUCGCUUUGCUUCCGUCGAGUGAUGGUCUGAGCCGAGAGUGAUGAGUUGAGCACCUCCCUCUUUGGUUCAUCGGUCGUUGCGAGCUUUGCGGACAGAGAGCUUCAAGCUUGGGCCGAGGAAGAUGAAGCGAGCGAGCUAAAGCUUCACACAUUGCUCGAUUGGUGCUCUCGAUUGUUCAAUUCUAUGCUUGGGUCGAGCCAGAAGGAUCGAGCAGAACGGAUCGAGUAUUCGUCUUCUCCACAUUGAAUGCUUCAAAACGAAUCAAUUGCUCCAGUACUUUUGUAACAGGACAUCCAGAAGAGAGAAGAGGGUAUUUUAUAUCAUAAAGAGUUGCUUCAGAUGAGGGUUUGCUCCCACAAAAGACAAAGCUGAGGUUAGACAGCUGGUGACAUGCUUCAGCACACCAAGCAGCACAAGUAGCUGAACAUUUCCCUUCCAUGAAGAUAUAUACAAGCAGCUGAAGCAAACAGCUUGUGACCAGCAUGUGACUUCUAAUGAGCAAGCAGGUAAGCAAGUAGGUGCAUGUCAUGUGACCUAAUUACUGAGGAAGCAAGUAAGCUAGAAGGUGCAAGGCAUGUGAUUGUUCAGAAAUAAUUUUAAGAGUUUUGUCGAUAUUUUUCGGGCUGUUUCGACUACAUAUUUUUCAUCCUUCGAAUCUCGUCCUGCUCUGAAUAAACUCGCCCAGCAUGAAUAAAAAUCGACAAUAGUAAUUA